UGGGGAAUUUUGGACAAUGGGGGCAACCCUGAUCCAGCCAUUCCGCGUGAGUGAAGAAGGCCUUCGGGUUGUAAAGCUCUUUCGGCAGGAACGAAACGGUGGGCUCUAACAUAGCCUGCUAAUGACGGUACCUGAAGAAGAAGCACCGGCUAACUACGUGCCAGCAGCCGCGGUAAUACGUAGGGUGCGAGCGUUAAUCGGAAUUACUGGGCGUAAAGCGUGCGCAGGCGGUUAUGUAAGACAGAUGUGAAAUCCCCGGGCUCAACCUGGGAACUGCGUUUGUGACUGCAUAACUCGAGUGUGGCAGAGGGGGGUGGAAUUCCACGUGUAGCAGUGAAAUGCGUAGAGAUGUGGAGGAACACCGAUGGCGAAGGCAGCCCCCUGGGUUAACACUGACGCUCAUGCACGAAAGCGUGGGGAGCAAACA
rnacentral:rRNA from 1 species